GGUAACGGCUCACCAAGGCGACGAUACAUAGGGGGACUGAGAGGUUAACCCCCCACACUGGUACUGAGACACGGACCAGACUCCUACGGGAGGCAGCAGUGAGGAAUAUUGGUCAAUGGACGCAAGUCUGAACCAGCCAUGCCGCGUGCAGGAUGACGGCUCUAUGAGUUGUAAACUGCUUUUGUACGAGGGUAAACGCAGAUACGUGUAUCUGUCUGAAAGUAUCGUACGAAUAAGGAUCGGCUAACUCCGUGCCAGCAGCCGCGGUAAUACGGAGGAUUCAAGCGUUAUCCGGAUUUAUUGGGUUUAAAGGGUGCGUAGGCGGUUUGAUAAGUUAGAGGUGAAAUUUCGGGGCUCAACCCUGAACGUGCCUCUAAUACUGUUGAGCUAGAGAGUAGUUGCGGUAGGCGGAAUGUAUGGUGUAGCGGUGAAAUGCUUAGAGAUCAUACAGAACACCGAUUGCGAAGGCAGCUUACCAAACUAUAUCUGACGUUGAGGCACGAAAGCGUGGGGAGCAAACAGGAUUAGAUACCCUGGUAGUCCACGCAGUAAACGAUGAUAACUCGUUGUCGGCGAUACACAGUCGGUGACUAAGCGAAAGCGAUAAGUUAUCCACCUGGGGAGUACGUUCGCAAGAAUGAAACUCAAAGGAAUUGACGGGGGCCCGCACAAGCGGAGGAACAUGUGGUUUAAUUCGAUGAUACGCGAGGAACCUUACCCGGGCUUGAAAGUUAGCGACGAUUCUUGAAAGAGGAUUUCCCUUCGGGGCGCGAAACUAGGUGCUGCAUGGUUGUCGUCAGCUCGUGCCGUGAGGUGUCGGGUUAAGUCCCAUAACGAGCGCAACCCCUACCGUUAGUUGCCAUCAGGUGAAGCUGGGCACUCUGGCGGGACUGCCGGUGUAAGCCGAGAGGAAGGUGGGGAUGACGUCAAAUCAGCACGGCCCUUACGUCCGGGGCUACACA
rnacentral:rRNA from 1 species